AACCCUUCCGUCCACAUCUCACCAUUACUUCCAUAUUCCUCUUUUUUCAUCUCCAGGAACCUGCAACCUAAACCAUGGGUUGCAAUCGUCUUCAUCGCAACCGACAUCAUCUUCAUCAACCGUUAUCAUCUUCAUCGGCUAUAAUUACAGCCACCACCAUCUUUAUACUAUCCUUAUACCUCCAUCUCAAAUAACCCGUAUGUGUCCUUCAACCAUCAGUUACUGCAUUGCAUCACACGCAAAAAAAGGCUAGGGCUGAUUUUGAAUUUUGGAUUUUUUUUUCUGAUGUGCGGCCUAAUCGGAGUUCUUUUUUUUUUUCCUGCUGCUUAGGUUUCUUCCUUUUAUCCUCUUGAUUCUUGUCCUUCCCUUCAUCUUUCUACCACCAUUGAUACCCCUUUUUCUGUCUCAUUCCCAAUUGAAAUGAUAUAUCUCCAUUUCUUCAAGCGACACCCCAAAUGAAGGAGAUGAAGUGGGAUUUAUGGAGUUUUAUGUCAAUUUACAUACUUUGGUAUAGAGAGUCACCAAGUCAUGCUUCUUCUAUUUGAAGAUAUUGUUGGGAGUAUAACAUCAUACAAAUACACGAUCCUAAUCUACUGAGAGGGACAAUUGAUCCCACUAGAGUUCCAUUUUUGGAAUUAGUACAUGUGUGCUGUUUUCUAAACAUAAAAAAUAUAGAAAUGGAAGAAAUGCCUCGACCAUUAGAGCAUGAAUCUCUUUUAGCUGCAAGAUAUGAGAGGGAAAACAUUCAAAGGAGUGGAACUAGUAUUGUUGGGGUUGUAUAAAUUCAAUGUACUCAUCUUUGUUAGCGACACGUUAGUAUUUCUUGAAAUGUUUAUUUUUAUAUUAACCAAUUAUUUUUUAAAUUAAAGUUAUUACUAAUGAAUUAACAGUGGUAGUUUGCGUUGAUGAAGUCUCAAAGGUGGCAAUUAUGAUUCUUAUAUGGGGCCGUGAUGAUGAAGUGAAGAAACAGAAAUACAAAUCAUGGUCUGAUGGUGCCUUUUGAUGGUAUCAGGUCAAGAAGUGAUUCUUGAAGAAUGGAGAAGUAAUUCUUGAAGAUUGCAACAAUAACAUUUUUGGAACUUAUUCUUGAAGAAUAGAACGUAGAGGAAUGAAAUAUGGGAUGAAAACUAAUUAUUAAAUGAAGUUGCAGAUCGACAUUUUUUAUAUCAAAAAUAUUUCAUGUAUUUGUAACUCAUUUUUCCAUCUUUUAUUUUAUGUUCAUGUAUUCUAUUAGAAUCACUCAAAAUGUAGGUAUGUUUUGUUAAUGUGAACAUGUUAAAUUCUGACAAAAUUGUUCGCCAU